rnacentral:rRNA from 1 species
CCUACGGGAGGCAGCAGUAGGGAAUUUUGCGCAAUGGGCGAAAGCCUGACGCAGCAACGCCGCGUGAUCGAGACGCCCUUCGGGGUGUAAAGAUCUGUCAGUGGGGACGAAACUUGACGGUACCCACAGAGGAAGCACCGGCUAACUCCGUGCCAGCAGCCGCGGUAAUACGGGGGGUGCAAGCGUUGUCCGGAAUCAUUGGGCGUAAAGAGUUCGUAGGCGGCACGUCAAGUCGGGUGUUAAAUGCAGCGGCUCAACUUCAGUACGGCACUGGAAACGUGCGGGCUAGAAUGCGGUAGAGGUAAAGGGAAUUCGUGGUGUAGCGGUGAAAUGCGUAGAGAUCAGGAGGAACAUCGGUGGCGUAAGCGCUUUACUGGGCCGUAAUUGACGCUGAGGAACGAAAGCCAGGGUAGCAAAUGGGAUUAGAUACCCGAGUAGUC